rnacentral:rRNA from 1 species
UACGAAGGGAGCUAGCGUUGCUCGGAAUCACUGGGCGUAAAGCGCACGUAGGCGGCUUUUUAAGUCAGGGGUGAAAUCCUGGAGCUCAACUCCAGAACUGCCUUUGAUACUGAGAAGCUUGAGUCCGGGAGAGGUGAGUGGAACUCCUAGUGUAGAGGUGGAAUUCGUAGAUAUUAGGAAGAACACCAGUGGCGAAGGCGGCUCACUGGUCCGGUACUGACGCUGAGGUGCGAAAGCGUGGGGAGCAAACAGG